rnacentral:rRNA from 1 species
UACGUAGGGCGCAAGCGUUAUCCGGAAUUAUUGGGCGUAAAGAGCUCGUAGGCGGUUUGUCGCGUCUGCCCGUGAAAGUCCGGGGCUCAACUCCGGAUCUGCGGUGGGUACGGGCAGGCUAGAGUGCGGGAGAGGAGAGUGGAAUUCCUGGUGUAGCGGUGAAAUGCGCAGAUAUCAGGAAGAACACCCGUGGCGAAGGCGGCUCUCUGGAACGCAACUGACGCUGAGACGCGAAAGCGUGGGGAGCAAACAGG